UCCUACGGGNNGCAGCAGUGGGGAAUAUUGGACAAUGGGCGCAAGCCUGAUCCAGCCAUGCCGCGUGUGUGAAGAAGGCCUUAUGGUUGUAAAGCACUUUAAGCGAGGAGGAGGCUACUUUAGUUAAUACCUAGAGAUAGUGGACGUUACUCGCAGAAUAAGCACCGGCUAACUCUGUGCCAGCAGCCGCGGUAAUACAGAGGGUGCAAGCGUUAAUCGGAUUUACUGGGCGUAAAGCGCGCGUAGGCGGCUAAUUAAGUCAAAUGUGAAAUCCCCGAGCUUAACUUGGGAAUUGCAUUCGAUACUGGUUAGCUAGAGUGUGGGAGAGGAUGGUAGAAUUCCAGGUGUAGCGGUGAAAUGCGUAGAGAUCUGGAGGAAUACCGAUGGCGAAGGCAGCCAUCUGGCCUAACACUGACGCUGAGGUGCGAAAGCAUGGGGAGCAAACAGGAUUAGAUACCCUGGUAGUCCAUGCCGUAAACGAUGUCUACUAGCCGUUGGGGCCUUUGAGGCUUUAGUGGCGCAGCUAACGCGAUAAGUAGACCGCCUGGGGAGUACGGUCGCAAGACUAAAACUCAAAUGAAUNNNCGGGGGCCCNCACNAGCGGUGGAGCAUGUGGUUUUAAUUCGA
rnacentral:rRNA from 1 species